GUAGCGGAAGCGGCGUUGCCAUGGAGUCAGCGGAGGACUGGCUGGUGGAAUCCUUGCGCUUGUACCAAGAUUUCCAUGCAUUCGACCUUUCCGAAGCCACACGAGUCCUUGAAUGGAUUGAUGACAAAGGAGUCUGUGUUGCUGGCUAUGAAAGCCUGAAAAAAAAUGAGAUUCUUCAUCUGUUAUUACCUCUCAGACUUUCUGUAAAAGAAAACCAGGGCUUAUUCCCAGAAAGAGAUUUCAAGGUACGCCACGGAGGAUUUUCAGACACGUCUGUCUUUGAUCUGAAGCACGUGCUGGACACAAGGUUGCUGGUAACCAGUGGUCUUCCAGGUUGUCACCUGCAUGUGUGGAAGGUGACAGAGGACAGUGACGUCAUUCAGGCUGUCAGCACCAUUGCCGUGCAGGAGGAGGAGGGGAGUCUCUGGCCUAGGGUGGCCAUCUUCUCUUCGAUGGCCCCCGGAGUCCUGCACGGGGCGAGGCUCCGCGGUCUGAAGGUUGUGGAUCUGGAAACUCAGAAGACCACGUACUCCUCAGGGGUCGGCGACAGUGAGGAGCUGAGCAGCCUGCAGGUCCUGGACGCAGACACCUUUGCCUUCUGCUGUGCCUCGGGCCGGCUGGGGCUCGUUGACAUCCGCCAGAAGUGGGCGCCGUCAGAGAAUGCCGGCCCCGGCCCCGGGGCCGCUGCAAGGAGGUGGUGUGCUGAAGUUGGGGGCCGACGCCGGGGCCCUGGGCCCAGCAUUGCCAGCCUUGGCUCAGACGGGCAGCUCUGUCUCCUUGAUCCCCGGGAUCUCUGCCACCCUGUGAGCUCGGGGCGGUGCCCCGUGUCCGCACCGAGCCCCGCCCCAGAGCUGCUGCGAGUGACCUGGGCUCCAGGCCUGGAUGACUGCCUGGCCAUUUCAGGUUUUGAUGGGACAGUCCAGGUCUAUGAUGCCACAUCUUGGGACGGAACGGGGGGCCAAGUAGAACCUGUCUUCACUCACAGAGGUCACAUCUUCCUGGAAGACAAUCAGACAGAUGCUGCGCCACUGGUCACUACCCACACCUGGCACCCCCACAAGCCGAGGACCUUGUUGUCGGCAGCAAGCGACGCCUCUCUGCACGUGUGGGACUGGGUGGACCACCGUGCGGCCUGCUGACUCCAGCCUCUCCCUGCCCAGGCCUCUAAGAAGAGAAGGAGCUACCGGAAAGCCAAGUUUGAAGCAUACAAUUGCACAGAAUGAAGUACACCCACAGCAUUGCACAAGCAUCACCGCAUCCAAUUCCAGAACUUUCAUCACCCCGAACAAACGGUGACCAUCACGGCUCUGGUUUUCUGGCUGUGGGGAGGGCAUACUUGUAUUCCUCAGCUCGGGCCGCCGUAACAGAACCCCACAGACUGGGGGGCUCAAGCAGCAGAAACUCAGUACUCACAGUCUGGAGGCUGGACGUCCAAGAUCCGGGUGGCGGCAACUUUCAUCAUGAGGCCUCUUCUCUUGGCUUGUGGGAGCCACCAUCUCUGUGCUCACAUGGCCUCUUUGUGUCCCUGCAGAGAGGGCUCUGGUCUCUUUCCUCUUGGAAGGACAAGAGUCCUUCAGUCCUUUCAGAUUAGGGCCCCAACAUUAUGACCUCAUUUAACUUUAUUUACCUCUCCUGUUUUUUUCAUGUUUAUUAUUUAUUUUUGAGACAGCAUGCACACAGGAGGGGCAGAGAGGGAGAGAAAGAAUCCCAAGCAGGCUCUGCACUGUCAGCCCAGAGCCCCACGUGGGGCUCGAUCUCACAAACCUUGAGAUCAUGACCCGAGUCAAAAACCAAGGGUCACGUGCUCACCUGAUUGAGCCACCCAGGCGCCCCCUCCUUAUUUAUCUUUUAAAGGCUUCAUCUCCAAAUACAGUCACAUUGGUGGUUAGGAUUGCAACGUAGAAAUUUGGGUUGAGGGCACAAUUCAAUUCAUAGCACUUAGGAAUUAUUUUGAAGUGAGAAAAACCUAAUUUUCAAAUGAAAUGUGUUUUUGUUUUGUUUUUUUUCAGUUUAACAGUGAAGUCGAGGGAACAUUACAUUUUGGAGUUUAAAAUACCCAGUUUCAAGAUGUGAUCAUUUUUACCAUUUUCUGAAGUCUUCUCCUCAUUUCCCCCACGCCCCCUCGAGAGCUGAUUCUGUUCUCUUCUCAGCCCUGUUCAGUUAUGUCACAUCAGUAGUUUGAAAAUGGCCAAAAUGGAAAUAUUUAACCCCACAGAAAUUGGCAAAUACUGCAGCAUACCACUGUCUAACCUAUGUUAUGUCACCAAGUAAAAGCAGAAAUGAGUUAUUUUAGAAAAUAGUAGAGUUAAUGCAUGAAUUGAGAAGCUGUUUUGCUGAAAAAUCCUGAUAAAAUGCAUAUCAAUCAGUCAUCGUCCAGCCACAGGGCCAAACACCCCGAAUAAUUCAGUCGUGGGGAUUUAGUUACGAGGCAUCUGAAAGCGGCUGCGAGGGAAGGUGGGGCCCGCGACGUGAGCCACAGCAGGAAGUUACACGGAGGGUUACAGAGGGGUGGGGGGGACGGGUGACCAGAGCUGAACCGUCGGGCCUCCCAGUGGGGAGGGGAGCGCAGUAAUCCUGCUGGCGGGGGCUGGAGCCACGGGGCAGGAGCGGGGACCGCCGAGGCGACCACGGGAGAAUGCAGGAAGUACAGACGGGCCGAGUCCCCUGGCUCCUCUCCUUCCGCCGCCCAGCAUCCUGCCUGUGCCCAGGUCCAGAGGACCAGAUGUGACCGGAGCUCGUCCGUAGGGGAGCGCAGAGGGGCAGCCAGCAGGAGUCUGCACCUGCAGCAUAAAGCAGAGGGGACGGAACCAGGAUGGGUCUGAAGCCGGAAGGCUGGCACCACAUCGAAACCUCUAUGAAUUAAGCAAGGAAAAGGAAAGAAAGAAAAUAGGACAAAGACUGUAAAAGACUACUGUGUACAAUUACAUGUUAAUUUGAAAAUCUCAAGAUACUGUUAAUUUUCUUUUUUUGUGUUUAUGUUUUGAGAGAGCAUAAGUGGGGGAGGGGCAUACAGAGGGGGAAAGAG